rnacentral:rRNA from 1 species
AACGUAGGUGGCAAGCGUUAUCCGGAAUUACUGGGCGUAAAGGGUGUGCAGGCGGGGAAGGAAGUGGGGUAUGAAAUAUCCCAGCUUAACUGGGAGGGGUUAUGCCAGACUGCUUUUCUAGAGGGCGAGAGAGGGGGGUGGAAUUCCGCGUGUAGCAGUGAAAUGCGUAGAGAUGCGGAGGAACACCGAUGGCGAAGGCAGCCCCCUGGGCCGACAUUGACGCUCAGGCACGAAAGCGUGGGGAGCAAACAGG